AACGAACGCUGGCGGCGUGCUUAAUACAUGCAAGUCGAACGUGAUGUGUAGCAAUACACUGAAAGUGGCGAACGGGUGAGUAACACGUAAGUAAUCUGCCUUUAAGAUUGGGAUAACCCUGCCAACGCGGGGCUAAUACCGGAUGUGGUCCCUAUAACGCAUGUUGUGGGGAUUAAAGGAGCGAUCCGCUUAAAGAUGAACUUGCGGCCCAUUAGCUAGUUGGCGGGGUAACGGCCCACCAAGGCAACGAUGGGUAGCCGGCCUGAGAGGGUGAACGGCCACAUUGGGACUGAGAUACGGCCCAGACUCCUACGGGAGGCUG
rnacentral:rRNA from 1 species